UUACGGCCAUAUCACAUUAAAACACCAGUUCUUAUAUGAUCACAGAAGUUAAGCAAUAUUGAGUCUGAUCAGUACUUAGAUGAGUGACAGCUUAGGAAUACCAGGUGC